GAGAAUUCCCUCUUGGGCGCCAAUCUCUUUUCCUCCAUUCUCCUUUUAUAUCACACGAUCCUUCUCUCACACGCUCUUUUCUAACCCUAUUUUAUGAUCUGAUGUAUCAUCAUGUCUCAUGCUUCUCAUCUUCUUCUUGAAUUCCCACCCAAAUCUAACAUUAAUUUUUCUAUUGCUUUUCUAUUCGUGUUGCCUAAUCCCUGGAGGCUGGAAAUAAACCCUAGAACUGUUUCGGUUGCAUCGCAAGCAAGAAUGAUGGCUUUGGGGUGUGGUAUCGGUGUCUAGGGUUGGCGAAUCGACUUUUCCGGCGAAGUUGGUUAGGGUUCAGGCCGAGAUUCCGGCAACACAGGUAAGACAAUGCCUCGGUUUUGUUUAGAUUGGUGGCAUAUGGCCCUUUUUUGGCUAGAUAUGGUGUUAACACUGGUCUGAAUCAGUGAAGAAACUUAUUGAGAUAGGGUAAAGUUCAUCGAUGAUGGUUGUAGGGGUAAACGUCAAGAACAAUCCAACGAUUGAGACCAAGCGUUUGUUUAAAUGUCUCAAUGAAAGUUUGGAUUGAACAUCAUCAAAAUGCCACCAAAAAAGUGCUAUAGUGAAAAGCUUCGACUCCAAUGGCUUGUCAGAAGGGAAAAGAAAGAUGGGUGAUUUGCAUUACUCUUAUUGGGAACACGGCUCGCCAUUUUAACGUUGUGAUCAAGUGGUCAGCAGCCAUCAUUCGUGUUCAAUCAAUAGGUGUUAGGGCUGUGUGGAUGGUUAAAAGUCGCGAAAGGACAACGGUAGUGGGCUGUCAAAACUGGAUAGCAAAUUCACACUUUCAGCCGUGAUUUCGAAACCAAAUUAUGUGGUACAAUGCAACAACGAGUUGGGAUCUUUUGCAGCUGUUUGAGAGGUGUUUGAGGACUGAGAACUAUGUACAAACAACCACAGUAUCAUAGUUAAAGCAGUAGUUCCAGCAUUCUGUCAUGUUCUAUUUCACAGUGAUGGGCGUAGGCGAGGACUCGACAUAGGCAUAGAGACAAGAAGCACGACAGCGGAGUAGUGAUGAUGAAGAUGAUUUGAGGAGGACGUAGGAUUUGCUUCACAAAGUAUUAUCUAUUUGCUUAUUUUGAAAUUGCAAGCCAGGAGGCGAAGAUGGCGUACAAGCACUUCAUCAUGAAGGUACCUUCAACCGGGGAGUGGUGUAUAAUGUCGGGGAUAUUAGUCGGACUUGUGUGGUCCCCCUAUAAAACAGAAAUGGAGAUUGUUUGGAUUCUCUAAGGGUUGUCUUAGUAUGGAUAGGAGGGAUGAACUAAGUUACUUCUUUUGCUAAGACAAGGUAACGAGUUGAGUGCGAAGAACAUUGGUACUAUGGUCCAUACUGAGCAAUAUGGGAGUGACUUAAUUGAACUCAGGGGUAUAAUCGACAAUUUAUACCACAACGUCAAGUCAAAACCGUUGUUUGUAGCACUGGUGGGUUCUUUGAUAAAGAGUGGUUUUCGAAGCUUCUUAAGGUUUCAGGUUCAGACUUUGUUGAUGCAAUGACACUCCAUUUGUAUAAUAUGGGACCAGUUUUAGGCAAUUUUGGAUGAGUUAAGCUGUUGUUGUGCUUGGGUCUUUGCUUGCUUAAAAUCUGACAGAAUCAUGGAGUUCGGGGGACGAAAGUGAGGCAGGAAAGAUGGCGGUUCUGGAGCCUGCUCAGGCGUUGCAGAAUCUGCCUGUGCCGCCGCUUCAGCAGGCGAAGAAAAGUCGACGUGGACCGAAGUCUCGAGGCUCACAGUAUCACGGUGUGACGUUUUAUCGGCGUACUGGUCGUUGGGAAUCACAUACCUGGGAUUGUUGAAAACAAGUAUAUUUAGGUGGAUUUGAUACUGCCCUUGCUGCAGCUAGGUUAGAGUUUUGUUUGAAAAAAAAUUGUAACUCGAUAUAUUUCUUGGUAAGGUUUGCCAAACAUGAGUCUUAGCAUGAAGAGAUAUCAGGUUAUAAAUCAUACAAAAAAAAAUACUUUUAUAGAUAUACAUUUUUUAACACAACCCAUAACCCGUGAAGCUAGAGACCAAAUCCAAAAUUUUGAUAAACGAUAGGGACCGUCCAUGUACUUUACUAUUAAUUCUAGGAAAACGUAUGUUUAAUAUUGUUAUUUAUGGUGAUGUAACUAACUAUACAUUUUACAUAGGAACCUUGAAGCAAGUAACUUUUCGGGAACUGUUCCAUCUGAUUUGGGGAGAUUAAUAAAUUUACACACAUUGAUUUUGUCCUCAAACCGGUUGACGGGAACGUUGCCAGCAUCCCUUGCUGAAUUGAGCAAUUUAAAAGAUUUGAUAAUUGACAACAAUCUUAGUGGGUCCAUACCUAAUUUCAUAGAGAAUUGGAGACAACUCAAUAAACUAGAACUAAUUGGGACGGGGCUUUCGGGACUGAUUCCUUCAUCCAUUUCUUUCUGAACUUAACUAACGUGAGAACUUGUGAACUAAGUGGACCAACUCAGAGAUUCCCUCCGUUAGAUAAUGUUGUUGGUUUACUAACACUGUAUGUAGAAGGUUUUGUAUUUCAAAUUGUCGUUGUAAUAUAAUAUAUUCGUUUGUGUUUUAACGUGUAAAAAAUCAUAAUAUUUACGUCAAUGCUGAUAAUGAAGAUAUUUUCUUU